rnacentral:rRNA from 1 species
GAAGGAUCAUUGUCGAACCCUCGCGGUAGAAUGACUUGCCAACCUGUACCAAUUAUUGAUUCGAGUGUCGGGGUGCUGUCUUUCUGAUUUGCCCAGACGAACAAAAACACCGGCGCAGCAGCGCCAAGGAAUAUAAUAAUGAGUGUGCAACCUUGCAGAGCUCAAUUAUGUUGCCUGUGAGCUUCGCAUCCUUUUAAUAAAAAUGACUCUCGGCAAUGGAUAUCUCGGCUCUUGCAUCGAUGAAGAACGUAGCGAAAUGCGAUACUUGGUGUGAAUUGCAGAAUCCCGUGAACCAUCGAAACUUUGAACGCAAGUUGCGCCUCAAGCCAUUGGGUUGAGGGCACGUCUGCUUGGGUGUCAUGCACUAUGUCUCCCCUCUCGUGUGUGGAGUGGGAAUAGAUCCUGGCCUCCUGGGCCCUUCCUUGGGCGUGGUUGGCCGAAAAUGUUGUCCUGGAUUUUGUUGAUGUCUUGGUGAGCGGUGGAUGUGCCAGGGGUGCAUAGUUGCCAGCCUUGCUCGACUUCAUUGUGGCGUUGGGAUCCUAUGAAGCUGCCGUUUUUUGCUCUUUGAUUGCGACCCCAAGUCAGGCGAGACUACCCGCUGAGUUUAAGCA